rnacentral:rRNA from 1 species
UAGGGAAUUGUUCGCAAUGGGCGCAAGCCUGACGACGCAACGCCGCGUGGAGGAUGAAGAUCUUCGGGUCGUAAACUCCUUUCGAUUGGGACGAAUUUCUCGGGGGUGAAUAAUCUCCGAGCGUGACGGUACCGAGAGAAGAAGCCCCGGCUAACUCCGUGCCAGCAGCCGCGGUAAUAUGGGGGGGGCAAGCGUUGUUCGGAAUUACUGGGCGUAAAGGGCUCGUAGGCGGCCAACUAAGUCAUACGUGAAAUCCCUCGGCUUAACCGGGGAACUGCGUCUGAUACUGGAUGGCUCGAGAUUGGGAGAGGGAUGCGGAAUUCCAGGUGUAGCGGUGAAAUGCGUAGAUAUCUGGAGGAACACCGGUGGCGAAGGCGGCAUCCUGGACCAACACUGACGCUGAGGAGCGAAAGCCAGGGGAGCAAACGG